AGAACGAACGCUGGCGGCAGGCCUAACACAUGCAAGUCGAGCGAUGUAGCAAUACAUAGCGGCGCACGGGAGAGUAACGCGUGGGAACCUACCUUUUAGUUUGGGAUAACAUCGGGAAACUGGUGCUAAUACCGGAUACGCCCUUAGGGGGAAAGAUUUAUCGCCGAAAGAUCGGCCCGCGUCUGAUUAGCUAGUUGGUGAGGUAACGGCUCACCAAGGCGACGAUCAGUAGCUGGUCUGAGAGGAUGAUCAGCCACAUUGGGACUGAGACACGGCCCAAACUCCUACGGGAGGCAGCAGUGGGGAAUAUUGGACAAUGGGCGCAAGCCUGAUCCAGCCAUGCCGCGUGAGUGAUGAAGGCCCUAGGGUUGUAAAGCUCUUUUGUGCGGGAAGAUAAUGACGGUACCGCAAGAAUAAGCCCCGGCUAACUUCGUGCCAGCAGCCGC
rnacentral:rRNA from 1 species